UUUGACCGACCCCAGCCACAGCGGGUGGUCCGCCGGUCGGCUCCUGCCAUACGUCGCCAGCAGGGCACGCGCCUC
rnacentral:antisense_RNA from 1 species